AGUAAGGUCUAUCCUACAUAAGACAGCUCCUGUCCUAAAUAUUAAUAAGAAGAGAAGGUGUAGUUCAUUUGGAGUAGAAGGAUGAAGAAGAAAGAGAGGGGAUGUCUGAAGCCAGAGAUCCAUAUGGAGCAUAUUAUAGACUUAGAUGGUGUCAGAAGUGGGAUCCAAAGUAGAGCUUCUAACAUCCCCUAGGAGCACUGAGUGACCAAGUGAGGAACUCUCUGGACUGAUUGUGUCCAUUGAUCUCUUGGAGCAGCUGGGGAUUGUGGAGGCAUUUGUUUGGGAACUGCGGCCUUGUGUGGCUCAAGCUCCAGCCGAGGAACAGAUGGUGCGGUGAGAGGGUCUUGCAGCAACUAGACCAAGAAGAAGGACACGCAGAUGCCAUUUGCUAUCAUGAGGUCUGUUUCUACCAGCAGAAGAGUGGAGCUUCACGCCGUGACUGACAAGAUGCCUUGGCCAGCAAAGCUUUUCUCAUAUUAGAAAGAUUGGAAAGAAUUGUUUCUAUGGAAGUGGUGAACAUGGGACAGAAGUACUUCUCUCUUGAUAAGACCAGCAUGUGCAAACCAGGAAGAAAAAGUAAAAUCUCCAAUAAUAGAGAGAUAAAUCAAACAGGAAAAAAAAAAAAAGUCCGGGUCCGAAAAACACGUGCAUUCCUGUAGCAGAGUUUAUGCGAGUUUUUUUUUCUUUUUUUCUUUUUUGUGAUGAGGUCACUAUUACUCACAUGGCUGUGUGGGAGAGACAGAGAACAUGCAUAAAUAACAAGAAAGCAAGCAUUCUAAUUUGCGCACCUUGUUUUUUUAAGAGUAUAAUCAUUGGCUGGAAUUAAUAGGAGCAGCUCUGAAUGAAUAACUUACUCAGCAUGUAAGUGAAAUAACUAAGAUUAGAAUCCUGAAUUGUUACCUUGGGCCUGGAGCAUUUACCUCCUUCUCUACCUGCUUAUCUCCAUCUCCUCCAAGGUGUGUUAACCUCAUGAUAAUCAAUCACUUCCAUGAUCAACAAUCUCGCUUCUUUUGAGAUACUCUUAGGAUUUCUGCUCUAAAAACUUAGACUACUGGGACUUGAUUUUCUUUGCUUUUUUCUCAGAAAUGUAUCUCUUUCUUGUCCAGUUGCAGCAAAAUCGAGUGUAUGCGGAGUUAAACUCCUACAAUUAAAUGUGCUAUUUCAGUUAUGGUUUCUUA